AGAGGGGGCGAGCGUUGUUCGGAAUUACUGGGCGUAAAGGGCGCGUAGGCGGCCAACUAAGUCAGACGUGAAAUCCCUCGGCUCAACCGGGGAACUGCGUCUGAUACUGGAUGGCUUGAAUUCGGGAGAGGGAUGCGGAAUUCCAGGUGUAGCGGUGAAAUGCGUAGAUAUCUGGAGGAACACCGGUGGCGAAGGCGGCAUCCUGGACCGAGAUUGACGCUGAUGCGCGAAAGCCAGGGGAGCAAACGGG
rnacentral:rRNA from 1 species